CAGCCGUUGGCCCCGGCGGGGGUGAAAACGAGGGGAAAGGACUGGGCUCGCGUCUCUCAGGGGGCGGGAAGAGGAAGAAAAAAACACACGCCCGCUUUCCUGAUGCGUUUACGGGCCCCACCGUGAAGGCUAGCGUUCGGGAGCCUGCUGCUGCUGUUGUUUUCCCCAGUGCCGCUUUCUCUUCUGUUGCCGAAGUUUAGGCCUAACCUAAACGGGCCGCUUCCUAACCGCCACCAACCAGAGUUUCGGGACUCAAACCUUACAGAUUACUCCCCUGCCCCCAUCAACCCAAGCUAUUAAUCUUGCCUCUUGCUCGCUCCACCAUAGCGCAUCUUCCCACCAGGAAGGGGCACAGCUGGCUACACCGGGGUGUGUCUGUACUUUUCAAGAAAUCAUACAAGAAUACAAGAGAGAAUGACAUUAUCCUAGGAAUGACCUUAAAUCUUCUCUAAAAAAGAAAGACUACUGUUAGCAAACUUUAAAAGCACAUCUACAUCUAGUAAGAAAUUACUGGGGAUAUACCUCAUAUCCUUCACAAUAGGUAGGUAACACCAUUGUCCCAUGUAUCUGAAGUUGAGAACAUUGCCAUUGGUGGGUCUUUUUUUUUUUUCCUUUAAAACUUUACAAGAAAGGAGUGGUUAGACUUCUUGCUUGAGUUCAUUAGGGAUGCAUUUAAGUAGCAGUCCCUCUCUUUUUUGAUCAGGGACCAUACUCGCACAGCCUAUAGGGACUAGGUGGGUUAUGUUUACGAGUGAAGUAGGCAGAGCAUAAGGAAAACAAUACUGUAAGCUUGAGGAUAAGUGACAACUGGCACAGAACACAGUGUCUGGGAGAUACUAAAAAGUAAUGGGGACUGCCAAAAAUGGUAGAGUGUAUUCCUCUUCUAAAAAGUACAGUUUCCACAUGAGGAUAGAAGUCGUAUGUUAAGGAUUGCACAGCAGAAAGACAGAAGGAACCUGGAUCCCUGAUGAUCAUGGAGACACCAUACCAACCCAGGACUGUCCAUCUCCAAACAUAACUGGGCAUUUCUGUCAGGCGUCCUCAUGAGCAAAUUCAAGACAGGAUGCUGCAGGCAUACUAAGCCAAUUGGAAGCGUGUUUGGGGCCUUGAUUACUACCUGUGUGUACCUUGCUAAGCAGGACCUCAUGGAUGAGUCUGCUACCAAGUCAAUGACAUAUAAAGUGCACUGAAUUUCAGAAAGAAAGAUUUUUCUGUGUGCCGUAAAUCUUGUAAUAAUAUUUGUCAUUAGCUCAAGCACUGAUCCAUAGUGCAAAGGAAAUUUACACUUCCACUCAGUAAGACAGAUUUUUAUCUUCUUAAAUCUUGGUACCAGAGGCCUAAAGAAAAAUAGCCAAGCAAAAAAAUGUAAGGUUGAAUGGCCUUGUUUAUUCAUCUCUGUGACAUUCUCAUAACAACUCAACAGUGACAAUGAGCCUGGAGGGUCAGCAACUCUUUGCAGUGGGCACUUGUUGUGGUAGCUCCACGAUGCAUGCUUCCCCUUCUCUGAGGAGCUGCCAACAUGCACCCAUAUGUCCUCUCCUCACCCUGCCCUGACAGCCAUCUCAGUGUUAGGAAAGAGCCCCUGGAGCAUGGUUUAUCAAUUCAGGUCUGUCAUCUGAUCUAAAGUCAGCUGAUCAAUUUGUCUCCCUCAUGAAUUUGAAAUGUUGCCAGAGGAGCAACUGUGUUAUUGGAAGUUGUUAGUAUCUGAGACACAUUGCAAUGCUCUUGGGGGAAGGCCUACAACCUCCUGCAGAAGAAAUACGUGGAAUUGCCCUAGCCAUUUUGGAGCCGCGGUUUAAUUCCUUCUUUGAUUCUAUGAGAUAUUCCAGUAUUCUUGCAAUAAAUUCCCUGUUUUUGCUCAAAGUAUUAGAGUUGGUUUCUUUUUCUCUUUUUGUUUGCUUGUUUUGUUUUUUGUUUCUUUCUUCUUCUCCCCAAAGGACCCCAGUACAUAGUUGUAUAUUCUAGUUGUGAGUGCCUCUGGUUGUGCUGUGUAGAACGCUGCCUCAGCGUGGCUUGAUGAGCAGUGCCAUGUCUGCGCCCAGGAUCUGAACUGGUGAAAACCUUGGCCACCGAAGCAGAGCAUGUAAACUUAACCACUCAGCCACCAGGCCAGACCCUAGAGUUGGGUGCUGAUACUUGUUAUCAAAAGAAACUUACUAAUAGAAGACAGCCACAACCAUGCCUGAACAGUUAGAAGAAAAUGGUUUAUCUGGAUGCCAUUUCAUUCAUUCAUUGAUUCCUUCAAUAGUCACUUAUUGAGGAUCUAUUAUAUGUCAAUCACAGAGACAGGCACACAAAUAAGACAGGAGGAGGUGUGGGGAGACAGUCUUGCAAACAUGUAAUUACACUAAAUUGUGAUAAUGUUCUAGUAGAGAUACUUACAAAGUGAUGUGGGAGUACAGAUAAGAGCGUGAAUGAACUCUCUGGGUAGGUUGGGGAACUAGGGUUAAUCAGCUUGGAGAAGGAUUUAAGCUAAGGACUCAAUCAAAGCUAUAUGGAAAAUUCAAUCUCAUUCCAUUACAGCGGCAGCAAAUGAAGAAUUUCUACAUAGAGGCCGAAGACCAGCUGUUCUCAAUAUCCACUCAGCUCUGCCGAGUGGAAACUGAUUUGAACAGCAGCAUGAGAGACUUAAAUAAUAUGCGGAAGAAUUUCCUGACAGUGAAAGUUGUUAAUGUUGGGAGAUUGUAGAAUCUUCUCUGGAG
rnacentral:lncRNA from 1 species